ACUCAAAGGAAUUGACGGGGGCCCGCACAAGCGGUGGAGCAUGUGGUUUAAUUCGAUGAUACGCGAGGAACCUUACCAGGGCUUAAAUGUAGUAUGACAGGGGUGGAAACAUCUUUUUCUUCGGACAUAUUACAAGGUGCUGCAUGGUUGUCGUCAGCUCGUGCCGUGAGGUGUCAGGUUAAGUCCUAUAACGAGCGCAACCCCUGUUGUUAGUUGCCAGCGAGUAAUGUCGGGAACUCUAACAAGACUGCCGGUGCAAACCGUGAGGAAGGUGGGGAUGACGUCAAAUCAUCACGGCCCUUACGUCCUGGGCUACACACGUGCUACAAUGGCAGGUACAGAGAGCAGCCACUUCGCAAGGAGGAGCGAAUCUAUAAAGCCUGUCUCAGUUCGGAUUGGAGUCUGCAACCCGACUCCAUGAAGCUGGAAUCGCUAGUAAUCGCAUAUCAGCCAUGAUGCGGUGAAUACGUUCCCGGGCCUUGUACACACCGCCCGU
rnacentral:rRNA from 1 species